rnacentral:lncRNA from 1 species
UAUGUCACGUCCCGCUAUCGCCAAUUUGGUCGAUCCGGGCCCGUACACAGACGCCGAACGAACAGCACCUCCUCUGUUCGCCCAAGGCUCAACAACAACGAAUACAUGUAUAAAGAAAUAAACAAUUCCCAGGAUCACAUUUCAAUAUACAUGGCUUACACGAAGGCAAGCAACAAUCACAAGUGAUAGUAAGUCUAACUAAACAUGAAAUCCACUGUAAUUUAAAACUUCACAUAACUAAAACAUUUAGUUAUAUACAUGCUUUAUAUACAUUCAUUUACAUGUCUCUGUACAUCAAAAUGGAUGAUACAUGAACCCAAAUGGUAUACCACUAGUACUCGGGUGUCCACUAGCUAGGCUGCUGGCUCUUGCCUCGAUCCUCGGCCACAAUACUCGCACUGGAACCUGUAUGGUUAGUGGUGUGAGAACUACAAGAAAGUUCCCAGUGGGUUCGGCCGCCGACCUCGCCGACUCACCCACUAGGUCUACUCAGGCAUAUGUAGGCAAGAAAAGUAAGCAGAUAGUAACCAACUAUAACAUGUAACUACUACAAUGCCUGUACAAAGCGGAAGGAAGUAGUAUACGAAAACUGUAAAGAUGCAUGCAUGCUUUUCAUUAACUUUACCCAAUCUUUUGGUUAACCCUCUGGUUAACAGCUGGACAAGUACGUUAGUCCUGGGGCAAGUACGUUAGCCCAUAAAUUUACCCAAUUCAGUGGUUAACCCUUUGGUUAACAAUAACUCACCAACGAAAUCCCUCACGGGCCCUAAGCUGCCUCCCGAUGGGACGUCUGUCGGACAAGUACGUUAGUCCUGGGGCAAGUACGUUAGCCCAACAAGUGACUACUCCGGAGCUCACUGCCUGGGG